CCUACGGGGGGCAGCAGUGGGGGAUAUUGCACAAUGGGGGGAACCCUGAUGCAGCGACGCCGCGUGGGUGAAGAAGCGCCUCGGCGCGUAAAGCCCUGUCAGCAGGGAAGAAAAUGACGGUACCUGAAGAAGAAGCCCCGGCUAACUACGUGCCAGCAGCCGCGGUAAUACGUAGGGGGCAAGCGUUAUCCGGAUUUACUGGGUGGAAAGGGGGCGCAGACGGCGAUGCAAGCCAGGAGUGAAAGCACGGGGCCCAACCCCGGGACUGCUCUUGGAACUGCGUGGCUGGAGUGCAGGAGGGGGAGGCGGAAUUCCUGGUGUAGCGGUGACAUGCGUAGAUAUCAGGAGGAACACCGGUGGCGAAGGCGGCCUGCUGGACUGCAACUGACGUUGAGGCCCGAAAGCGUGGGGAGCAAACAGGAUUAGAUACCCCAGUAGUC
rnacentral:rRNA from 1 species